CCCACACAGACUCGACGUCGAGCAGCGGUGGAGCUCGAUCGCUCCGUCCGUCGUCCGGCCGUCUCCCGGUGCAAGGCUGGUAUCCACAGGUCCGUCUCGACGUCCCCAACCUCCCUGUGAUUCCGUCUUGAAGAGUGGAGCUCCGGUGAGAGAGAAAAGGAGGAGAGAAGGCGCUUGGGUUUCCGAUCGGAUUUCUGAUUCCGACGACGGCGGCGAGCGUGAAUGGUACUGGAAGCUUCCUCUCGUCCUCGUGGUCUUCUCUAUGUCCUCAGUUUCUUCAGAAGAGGUCGGGAGAGAAAGAUUCGAAGUGAAGGAGAGACUCGGUUCGUCGGUGAGUUUCGGAUUCCGGCCAAGUCGUGGUCUCUCACCGGUGUGGAUAGCUUUGUCUCCUCAUCCACAACGUCCCUGUAACUUCAGCUUGUCGAGAUGAGGUCAGGUGAGGGAGAAUCGAAGAGAAGAAGUCUUGGGAUUUUCCGGCAAGGGUUCGAAGCCUUCCGGCCACCGGCGAAGGCAAGUGAGGUAUGGAACUUGAUCUUCUCGUCGAGCUCUACCUGUUUAUAUAAUUGAAAUUGAGUUUUGUUGAGUUUGGAGGAAGUUGGAUUUUUGGCAGUGGGUGACUGCCGUACGUGCCGCCGUGCACGGCGGUGGUGAAGGUGUUUGAUUCGUAUCUGGUUUCGGAUUUCAUGUUUUAUGUGUACUUGAGAUGCAGUUUUGAUUGAGAAAUUGAUAAGUUGGGCGAUCUGAAGGUUUCUGUACAAUCCUUGUUCACUGUUGUUGUUGACCUUUUGGUGUUUUGAUAAUUUUCCAUGAAGUAAUCGUUUCAGAUGGUGAAGUAUGGGUGUUGAUACACAAGAUUUCCAGUUUGGUUUAAUUAUAGAAGAAUCGGAAUAUUGGACAUUGACUUGCUGUAUUGAUAUUGAAAGAAGCUAGUAGUAAUUUGUUAUGCUAAAUUUCAAGGACGGAAGAGUUGGGUGAUUGGCAGGAACAUAAUUACACUGCUAUGUUGCUUGAAUUCCAAAUUGGAGAAUUUGUGUUGACAAUGGGUUUGAUAGUUGAUAGUGGAAUGAUGUUGGAGAAACUGUGAUCCAGGUGGGUUGAGUUGGAUGCAGUUUGGGAAGAAAUGCAGAUUUAAGGAUUUGGGUGUCCAAAGAUGGGUGUCCAAAGUAAGUAUGGAGACCACAGAUUUUGUCUUAUCAACUGUGGAGAGGAACGGAGCUAUAUAUGUAGAUAGUAUAUUGUCAUAGUUUAAGGGUUGGAAUCAUAAGGCAUAUGAAUCCGGUAAGGUGAGUUAAAGCAAUGAUCGAUUAAUUCGAUCUAUUAUUUGGAGCACAAUUGUGAAUUUGGAUACUAUGACAGGAUUGAGCAGUGAACGACAAAGAAUUGGAAAUAAGAUUUUGGGUGUCCAGAAUAAAUAUUGGAAUUUGAACGAGUUGAAUUGAAGUGAUUCGCCGACUUUCUCGGAAAGAAGAUUUAGUACGAGGAUCGAAUGCAAGUAGUAGGAUUCCAGGGAUAAAGAUUUCAGAAUACGUGUCGCAGAGUUAACUAAUUUUAGUUAGCGUCGGAGUCAAAGCUCGGAUUCCAGAAGUUUUUUGUGCUGCAGGGCACCAAGUUGACCAAAUCGUCUGUAUAUCAUCCACAAACAAAUGGUCAAACUGAAAACUUGAAUAGAACUCCUGAACAAUAUCUUAGAUGUGUUAUUGGGGAGCAUCCAGGUAAUUGGGUUAAGGCAUUACCUCGGGCAGAGUUCUGGUAUAAUUCAGCUUUCCAUUCUGCUAUAUAGAUGAGUCCUUUCCAGGCAUUGUAUGGAUAUCAGCCUCCAUCCAUCAAACCCUACUUGCCAGGCUCAACUGCAGUAGCAUAGGUGGAUCAAGACCUGCAAGAUCGAGAAACUCUAUUGUCUACUCUUAAGAAGAACAUGGAAUUAGCUCAGGCAAGGAUGAAAUAUUUCUAUGACAGGAAACACUCUGAGAGGGAAUUUAAUUUGGAUGAUUGGGUUUAUCUGAAAUUGCAGCAUUACAAGCAACAAUUUGUGAAGCAACAAGGGUGGCAUAAACUCUCACCUUGGUAUUUUGGCUCUUUUCAGGUCAUUGAAAGAGUUGGGAAGGUAGCAUACAAGCUGAGAUUGCCUAGCACAACAAAGGAUUCACAAUGUGUUUCAUGUGUCCUUACUGAAGAAAAAGCUGGGAGAUGCAGUGCCUAUUUCGCCGCAGUUGCCUCCAAUUGUGGAUCCAGCCAGUCAAAAGUGGGUACCACCGGUGGUUUUGGACUGAAGAAUGUAUAAGAAAAAAGGAGCAGCUGGAACUCAAUGGUUAGUGUAGUGGAAGGAUAAAUCUCCAGAAGAGGCCACAUGGGAGGAUUCAGAGAUGAUGAAACAACGUUUUCCAGGUUUUGAUCAAUAUGAUACUUGAGUUGCUGCAAGUGCUUAUGCCAGAAACUUGAGGAUAAGUUUUAUUGGUAGGAGGGUGGAUUGUUAGGGAGCCAAGUGUUAGUCUUCCUUUUUUAUCUAGGAGAGUUGUUUUGUUAGGUAAAAACACAACAUGUCAGUAGUGAUAAGUUUAGCUGUGGUGAGCUAUCCGUAAUGAGUGCCCUUGUGACACGUUGCAGUUAUGUGCACGUCUUAUCUAUAUGAAGAUGUAGCCCCUCAUUGUAUGAACUUAUCCAGAUUAAUAUCAAGGAUUAAUUAC